rnacentral:rRNA from 1 species
UACGUAGGUGGCGAGCGUUGUCCGGAUUUACUGGGCGUAAAGGGCUUGUAGGCGGUCCGUUAAGUCCGAUGUGAAAUCUCCCGGCUCAACUGGGAGAGGUCAUUGGAUACUGGCGGACUAGAGGGGGGUAGAGGAAAGCAGAAUUCCUGGUGUAGCGGUGAAAUGCGUAGAUAUCAGGAGGAACACCAAUAGCGAAGGCAGCUCGCUGGGACGGUAUUGACGCUAAGGCGCGAAAGCGUGGGGAGCAAACAGGG